UAGCCUACGGUUUAAUUGGGGAAAUGGCGAAGCAAUUUAAAAGUUAAUGCUGAAGGUUGCGUUUAAAGAGAAAUGGAGGGAGGAUCACUUUUUUGUGGAAGUGAAAGGCAAGCCCGUUUGCUUAAUUUGUGUAGAAGCUCUUUCCGUUCUCAAAAAGAAGGAAUGGUGCGAGCGGAGAAAAUCAAGUAAUAAUUUCGCUGCACAACAAGCGUCUUUCCUGCGUCUUAAAAAAGGGCUGAACAGUGUCACUGAAGCAAGUUGCGCGAAUCCAUUUGCCGUGAUGUCCCAGAGUGUGCCGUCAGUCACUGGACGAGCUCAUUGGCGGCGACGGCGUAACUGCUUUUCUUCUCGCUGCAAAGACCCAUCUCCGGGCUGAUGUGUUCAAUUGAAGGCGACGGAACACUCAAUCCUGGUCCUGGAGAGCCACCCAGUCUGUUUCAACAACCGAUUCAGAAUCUAGAUCAGCUGAGUUAACUGUGUAAUGAACGGCUUUAACUGACCAACUGCUGUGCUUCUGAAGUGCUGAGUAACAACGAAAACCAGCAGACCCUGCAGCUCUCCGGGACGAGGACCAGUGGCUCAAAGACAAGCUUUUCCUGGCAUUUAAACUUCCAUCCAUGUUCACUAUCCUUCCUGACACUCCCACUAUUAGAUCAACCAAUAGUUUUUAUAAAUGUCUCAAUUAAAAACUCAGUUGUAUAAUUAUUCACUUGAUUGUGCCAUUGGAGUGCCUAUGGGGACCCCUGGAGGUUAAUCAUUGAAGUACAAGUUUAAAUCGCUGCAGGUCACAUGGUUGAGACAAACUGGUGUCUGUAUUCAUAAUAUGUUUACAUCCCACAUCAUAAGGACUACAGAGUAUAUUCAUGGGUUCAUAUAGUGCUCUGCAUAAAACAUUCAUUACAACCAUUUGUAUAUAUUAUAUCAAUCUGGGAUAGACCUGACCUGAGGUAUCACACCACAAUUUAGACAUAAAAUGGAUAAAACCGAUUUAUGCUUAAAGUGUAAAACUGAGGUUGGUAGUUAUAUUCAUUGUGUUUGGUCUUGUAUGCACAUCCCUGACUACUGGGGAAGAUUAUUUAGAAUAUUAAAUCUCAUCUUCAAUGCUCUGUUUAUUCCUGGGCAUGCCUAGUGUUCAAAUGAAGGGUGUUAAUGCUAAGAAGUUGCUGAGCAUUCUGUCAUUUGCAGCAUGAAAGAAUAUUCUGCUGAAAAGGAUAGAGGAUCAUCCUCCUGAUGUUUCUGGUUGCUAUUGGAUAAUAUUAAAUAUUAUACCCCUGGAAUAUUUAACUUGUAGGACUACUUGUAAAGUAAAUGUAUUCUAUGACAUAUGGGCACCCUUUCUUGAGCAUAUUGGUCCAAGAUUGUCAAGCACUGUUUUAAACAAAUGGUGGAUUGUAAUACCAA